GGGCUGGUAGCUCAGCUGGCAGAGCAACGGACUCUUAAUCCGUGGGUCGCGGGUUCGAAUCCCGCCCAGCCCA
rnacentral:tRNA from 1 species